CUCGCCUUCCGCCUGAGCGCACCUGAACCGCUUGUAAGGGCAGGGCAAAGCGCCUCCCCUCAUCCUCCCCGGAAAAAAAUCCACCCCCCCGCGUUUGUUGCCAACUCGGGAAUCUUUACAACGGCAGAAACAGCGUCUGGAUUUGAGCACGUAAAAAAGUCGCGUCUCAUCUCAGAGAAGACACAGUACAAGCGAGGAGAUAAGAAAAGGAAUGUUUACGCCCAGGCUCUCCGAACCUGCCUGAACUGCUCCAGGAUACUCUGGGAUGUGUCUUCAUUGUUCUGAGCUGAAACCCCCUUCCAGCUACCAACACUGCAAGAAGCGUGACACAAACACAGAGGGCAGGGUGGCUUCCAUAUUCCCCUCCCCAUACGUGACGUCCUGUAUCACCUCUGCUCAAACUCGGUAGGCAGCGCUGGACGUUCAGCAUGGCGUGGGCGCUACCCCCACUGUGCGGUAGAAGACAGAAUAAGCACAAACAGCUCCUCAGUUGUGGAAGUUAUUCAUAAAGGUUGAGUUUUUCUUCCUUUCUGUACAGCGGAAGAAAUAAUUCCCUGCUUCUAGCGCAAUUCCGGAACAGUCUUUGGCUAAAACGGUGCCUUAAUUUAGCAAUGCACCCUUAGCCAUGCCUCUCACCUCUUAUGUUUUAGAGUGAAAUGCUUUGUGCAGAUAAAGCAGAAUGGGAAAACGUGAGGGAUUCGGGGGUGGUGGGGGCGAGCGAUUAGAAAGAUGAUAAUUCAACCGUAACCUGCUUGAAAAGACAGCUAAAAAAGCUGGCCUGAAAUAUCUUAUGGUUUUGGACACAUCACGGUGACCGGCCACAGAGCUGGACGUAGCGACCCCAGAGCACCCUCUCUGUCUGUGUGCGACCCGUCUCCCAGGCUCUUCAUUCUGACCUUGCCUUUUCAAGGAUUGUUUAUGGUGCGUAUUACUAGGACAUUCCGGCAUCUCUUGUGGCUUCCCACUGUAAAUACAACAGAGCAAACUCUCUAAAUCAAUUAAUUAGAUACAAUAUAUUUACGGCUACUGCAGGCCCACAGUAAUUAAUUUUAACAAAGUGCUAGGCUGCAGUGAAAAACAGCUACGGUGUAUCAGUCCUUCUUGAUGAGAGAAUCCUUUCUUUCUAAGCGAAGGCGGUAACAAUUAUUUAAUGGAAUGGCUAACGUUUCCGCUGGAAUUUGAAUUUGUAAAUAGCUGGACCAUUUGUUGUCUCUUUCUUCACCUUUACUUUAUGCGUUUUGUCCUGGAAAAAAAGGACAAGGCAAAAAUUAUUUGCUGGCAGGUAAGAAGAAAGAGGGAAGAAAACCCAACCAACCAACCCACCCUCAUAUAAAUAAGAAAGUCCCGCCUGAGACUAACAAGGCAUUAGUGAAAAGCAGUCGCUUUCCACUGUUCAGGUGGUGAUUAUAUUUCCGUCCGCUCUUUCCGCCGUCAGGUUGUCGGGCCCAAUCUGUUUUGCUCACAGGCAGCAGAGUGGCGACUCCCAUUGAGACAAACGAUUUGUUUGGUCAUUGGGAUUUUUAAGACCUUCCUGUAACGUACAGGAAUGGUCCCCUGCCUCUGCCACCUGAACACAUUAAUUUAGUACUUGAGAGAUGGCAACAGUAUUCUAGAAAAGACUCGUCAACACCAUUUCAAAGUUGAGUCUUUGUCUGUGCUGACAGGAUAAGACUAGCAGAUAUAGUUUACUAGCCAUGGCGCAACUGCAAUGCUUCAUCUCCUCGCUUUUUCCAGACUAAGAGAGGAUUAUUUUUAGGAGUUAUCUGGUGGAAGUGUCAGUAUAAAAUCAGAGUGAAGAAACAUAUACAUACCAAACUAGACCUAAUGACCUUAACAAAACAGAUUCAAAGAACUAGAACGAAAUUCCUCACCAGAAGAUCUUUACGCGUCUGGAUUUUCUGUGCAAUAACAAACAUGGCCUUUUCUCUUUCAAUGCGCUGCUUCAGGAGGUCAUACUGAUUCUUCCUUUGCUGCGCUAAUUUCUGGAGGAAAAAAACCAGAAGCAUUUUUAAGACAGAGAGAGGAACAAGACACUAGGGUCUAUAAAUGACCUAUUCUGUGGCACUUGGGCCUCACAAACAAUUUUAAACCACAGUCGUAUUAAAGAAUGCUGCCUCAAUUCUGUGGCUAAAUUCCAGAGAGCUGUUUCACCAUCUUAAUUCUCAUACUAGAGGUUUUCUAGUUAGGACUUAACUCUUUGUGUUUGUUUUUAUCUUUGGAUUUAGGAGAUUAAAAACCAAACCUCUUCUAACCUUG